GAAAGUCGUCAGAUCAGGCUCAAACUUGGGAUGAGCACAAAUUAGGGUCCCCACAUUCCAAAAAACGUAUGCGCCAAAAAAUUUUUUUUCCGGCCGGCCGGCCGUCUGCAGUAUAACACUAAAUUGCGAGGGAACUGUGAUAGAUAGAGACUUGCGGUAAACCUAUAAACCAAUACCUAUAAACCGGUUUUGCCUAUAUCUCAGAUAUCUUAAAAUCUGAAAUUUUGAUAUGUUGUAGGGGACAUCAAGCUCUCAACAUACCCUACAACUCUCUAGAACAUCCGAAGUUUCAAAAGUGACCGCUAGAGGGCCAAAAAACGAAAACAAAAUUUUCGAUGAAUAUCUCGAAAACGGCGACAUAUUGUUACGAUUUUUGGGAGAAAUGAAAUUACCGGAAAUAAACAAACGGUUAUUAUGAAUUUAAAUGAAACGAAACACGGCGAAAUGCCGAAAGAGAUUAAGAUGAAGAAGAAGAAGAUAGGACCCAUCAAAAAUAUGUUUCGAGGUCGGUCGGCAGCUAAAAUUUUGUCCGCAGUUUAUUUUUUCAUUCGGGUGAAUUUAUCUCGCUUUGGGAGCGUUCGGUGUGGGUGCAGAAAAUUUCCGCGGUUUUCUUCAAAAAUUCGUCAAUUUGAGACUUUGUGGUUUGAGAGUGCAAAAAUGAUGGAAAAUUCACGCAGAAGAGAUGCGAUCGUUUUUGGAACACAAUCAGUGCCCAGGAUGACCAGCCCGGAAGCCUUACCCGGAUGCCCUAUUCCCGGAUGGCCUGCCUGAAUGCUCUACCCGGAUGCCCUACCCGCUUCUGCUUUAAUUUUUGACAACAUUCCAAAAUGCGGAAAUAUCCGUUUGAAGCACAAAACUGUCCGUGCCUGGCUUCAGUCCUCAAUUUCUGGGAUCCGGUCUUACACAACUUUAUGCAACAUAAUUUUCCGGAAAUGGAAGGUGAGAAAGAUGAAAAAAUAUUUAGAAUACUUUUUCCCGGUCACAAAGGUGAAGAGGAGAGAUCAUCUGAAAAGCGGCCCAGCAUCGAAGGAGACAGCAGGAGAAGGAAAA